GCAGUGUACCCGCGGCAAGACGGAAAGACCCCGUGAACCUUUACUAUAGCUUGACACUGAACAUUGAGCCUUGAUGUGUAGGAUAGGUGGGAGGCUUAGAAGUGUGGACGCCAGUCUGCAUGGAGCCGACCUUGAAAUACCACCCUUUAAUGUUUGAUGUUCUAACGUUGACCCGUGAUCCGGGUUGCGGACAGUGUCUGGUGGGUAGUUUGACUGGGGCGGUCUCCUCCUAAAGAGUAACGGAGGAGCACGAAGGUUGGCUAAUCCUGGUCGGACAUCAGGAGGUUAGUGCAAUGGCAUAAGCCAGCUUGACUGCGAGCGUGACGGCGCGAGCAGGUGCGAAAGCAGGUCAUAGUGAUCCGGUGGUUCUGAAUGGAAGGGCCAUCGCUCAACGGAUAAAAGGUACUCCGGGGAUAACAGGCUGAUACCGCCCAAGAGUUCAUAUCGACGGCGGUGUUUGGCACCUCGAUGUCGGCUCAUCACAUCCUGGGGCUGAAGUAGGUCCCAAGGGUAUGGCUGUUCGCCAUUUAAAGUGGUACGCGAGCUGGGUUUAGAACGUCGUGAGACAGUUCGGUCCCUA
rnacentral:rRNA from 1 species